CCUACGGGAGGCAGCAGUAGGGAAUAUUGCUCAAUGGGGGAAACCCUGAAGCAGCAACGCCGCGUGGAGGAUGAAGGUUUUCGGAUUGUAAACCUCUUUUGCCGGGGAGCAAGCGUGCGUUCGUGAACGCGCGUCGAGAGUACCCGGAGAAAAAGCAUCGGCUAACUCCGUGCCAGCAGCCGCGGUAAUACGGAGGAUGCGAGCGUUAUCCGGAUUUAUUGGGUUUAAAGGGUGCGUAGGCGGGAUGCCAAGUCAGCGGUAAAAAUGCGGUGCUCAACGCCGUCGAGCCGUUGAAACUGGCGUUCUUGAGUGGGCGAGAAGUAUGCGGAAUGCGUGGUGUAGCGGUGAAAUGCAUAGAUAUCACGCAGAACUCCGAUUGCGAAGGCAGCAUACCGGCGCCCUACUGACGCUGAGGCACGAAAGCGUGGGUAUCGAACAGGAUUAGAUACCCGGGUAGUC
rnacentral:rRNA from 1 species